AAUGCAAUAAAAGCUCCACUAGGCAGAUGUUGGGCGACCUCGCCAACAGCUACUACAGCAACUUUUGCUCCAUUACCCAUCUUGAGGUCCAUCUCGCCUCUCUCUAGUCUCCUAGGCCUUGCCAGAACCUGCAACGAAUUACAUAUAUGAUAAGCACUACCGGUAUCUAAUACCCAUGUAUUAUCAUAAGAGUCAAACAAAUGGAGACUGAUCAUGAAUGUAUCUGAAGCUUCAUCAAGCUUUUGUUUCGCC
rnacentral:lncRNA from 1 species